rnacentral:miRNA from 1 species
GAAAUGCCGAGGGCUUGGAGG